rnacentral:lncRNA from 1 species
GGAGUUUGAGAAAUAGUUUAGCAGUUUAAAUAAAGCAGUGGCUUGUCCUAAGAGUCUUUCAGUUGAUUCUCUCUGUGUUUCUUAUUCUGGUCAGGUAGCUCUGGACAAAUGACAGUAUUUCAGUAUUUUAAUUUCUCGUUUUUAAAAAUAGAGUUAUACAGCCAAAGAAAAACCAGUAAAAAUCUUGAUUAAUUGCAAAAUCAUUGUUAAAAUGUUUCACAGCAUAAAUAACAGCUUUUGUGGGCGGGGGGGGGGGGUGGUGGGGUGCAAUUUAUCAACAUCUUCCAAAAUGUUAAAUGCAAAUGUCUUUUGACUCAGCAGUUCUACUUUUGAGGUAUCUGAAGACCCACACAAGUGAGAUCGAAAAAAGAAAAAAUAUGUAUUAUGGAGCACCAUACUGUGGAAUGUCACGUACAUGACUGAAUUAUGUGACUAAAGAGAACAAUGAAUAUGAGUACAUAAUUUACAAGGAUCUCUCUAAUCCCUUUUCCACUUAUUUUUAAAAUGGUAUUUAGUAUAUCUGCAAAAUUAUUUAUUUCUAGUAGACAAGGCCUCACUAUGUUGCCCAGGCUAGUGUCAAACUCCUGGCCUCAAGUGAUCCUCCCACCUCGGCCUCCCAAAGUGCUGGGAUUAUAAGUGUGAGCCACUGUGCCUGGCUUUCCACUGACUUUCUAUUUCUGGAUUCCAGAGUCUGCAUACCCUUGCCCACCACUGCUCAUGCUCACUUACAGGUUUAGUCAUACUAUUGCAGAUUUUAUUCCUACUUCCUUCUUUUCAGUGGAUGCCCAAUAAAUUCAACUAUUUAAGCUAAGCACAGUGGUGUGUCCCUGUAAUCCCAGCUACUUGAGAAACUGAGGCGGGAGGAUUGUUUGAGCAGAUUUGGAGACCAACCUGGGCAACAUAGAGAUUCUAUGUAAUCUCUCAUGUCAAAAUAAGUAAAAAUUCCACUAAUUAGAAGGUCCAAACCAAUGCACAUGUCUAAAGUCAUCUAGCAUUUCUUCCUGGUAGAGAUUACCUUAGACUGAACCCCCCUGGAAGACGAGCAUUACAUAUUCUGGAGUGUGGCAUAUUAUGUUUGUGUCAUUCCAUGUUGUAUGGUUAUCUGUCAUGAUGUAUCGUGAAACAAGCAAUUCUAUAACAGAGCACUAUUUUGCCUCAUUACUCUGGGAGCAAUGUGGCAUAGACCCAUGGAAUUUCCCAAGUUGUGGCAAGUGUUAUUAGCACUGCCUUGGUAUUAAGAGGACAAGAAAAUGAACCACCAUCUUUUGCUGGAUAGACAAUCAAAUCACUUUCUGGCUUUUAUCUACUUUUAAAAUACAUUUCAAGGGUCAUUUGAAAAUGACACAAAGCACAAAUAUGAAAAGAAAUUCAAAUAUUAUCACACUCCCUAAUAAAACAGCCUAAUUACCAAAGGCUCACAUUUUAGCAAGUUAAUUCUAAGACUUAAGCUGUGUACGGUGUGUGCAAAUUUGCAGAUACCUUACCAUCACAUGCAAGUGUCUUACUGCUACUGAAAGCUAUCAGACCCUUUCAGGAGGCGUGUUGUACCAAGCAGACCUAAAUGUGAACUUUCAUCAAGGACCUUUUUAGGAGGCGUAUUGUACCAAGCAGACCUAAAUGUGAACUUUCAUCAAGGACUAUGUGAUGUCAAGCAAGGCAGUACCCAUGUAUUUCAUUCAAAAACCAGUUGUCUCUCCUGUGUUUUUUUUUUUUUUUUGAGAUGGAGUCUUGCUCUGUCACCCAGGCUGGAGUGCAGUGGCACAAUCUCGGCUCACUGCAACCUCCGCCUCCCGGGUUCACGCCAUUCUCCUGCCUCAGCCUCCUGAGUUACUGGGACUACAGGCGCCCAGCACCACGCUUGGCUAAUUUUUUGUAUUUUUAGUAGAGGCGGGGUUUCACCACGUUAGCCAGGAUGGUCUCAAUCUCCUGACCUCGUGAUCUGCCCGCCUUGGCCUCCCAAAGUGCUGGGAUUACAGGCGUGAGCCACUGCGCCCGGCCUCUCCUGUAGUUUUCAACAUAGUUAAAUCCUACAAUGUCUGAGCAAUGGUUACAAUUCCUUAGGUAGUAAGGGAAAUACCUGUUGAAUGGCAGUUUGUGUUACAUGGGCGCUUUUCUUAUCUUUAUCAUUUAAUCAUUACCCCUCGGGUACACAGGACACACAAAUUUCAUUUUUCAGAUUUCACUUUA